AUUGAACGCUGGCGGCAGGCCUAACACAUGCAAGUCGAACGAGUGGCGGACGGGUGAGUAAUGUCUGGGAAACUGCCUGAUGGAGGGGGAUAACUACUGGCAACGGUAGCUAAUACCGCAUACCAUCAGAUGUGCCCCGAUGGGAUUAGCUAGUUGGGGGGGUAAAGGCUCACCAAGGCGACGAUCCCUAGGUGGUCUGAGAGGAUGACCAGCCACACUGGAACUUAGACACGGUCCAGACUCCUACGGGAGGCAGCAGUGGGGAAUAUUGCACAAUGGGCGCAAGCCUGAUGCAGCCAUGCCGCGUGUAUGAAGAAGGCCUUCGGUUUGUAAAGUACUUUCAGCGGGGAGGCGUUACCCGCAGAAGAAGCACCGGCUAACUCCGUGCCAGCCGCCGCGGUAAUAC
rnacentral:rRNA from 1 species